CGCCUGUUUACCAAAAACAUGUCUAUAUGAUUGUUAUAUAAAGUCUAGCCUGCCCACUGAUUUAGUUUAAAGGGCCGCGGUAUAUUGNCCGUGCGAAGGUAGCAUAAUCAUUAGUCUUUUAAUUGAAGGCUUGUAUGAAUGGUUGGACAAAAAGUAAGCUGUCUCAAUUAUAAUGAUUGAACUUAACUUUUAAGUGAAAAGGCUUAAAUAAAUUAAGGGGACGAUAAGACCCUAUAAAGCUUGACAAUAAUUUAAUUAUACUAUCAAUUGUUAGUAUAACUUGGUUUUAAUUAAGAUUUGUUGCGUUGGGGCGACGAGAAUAUAAUAGGUAACUGUUCUUAAAUAUUUAAUAACAAAUAUAAUUGAAAAUUAGUGUGAUCCUCUAUUAGCGAUUAAAAGAUUAAGUUACUUUAGGGAUAACAGCGUAAUCUUCUUUGAGAGUCCCUAUCGACAAGAAGGUUUGCGACCUCGAUGUUGAAUUAAGGUAUCCUUAUGAUGCAGCAGUUAUAAAGGAAGGUCUGUUCGACCUUUAAAUCCUUACGUGAUCUGAGUUCAGACCGG
rnacentral:rRNA from 1 species